AUACGGAGGAUCCGAGCGUUAUCCGGAUUUAUUGGGUUUAAAGGGUGCGCAGGCGGCCAUUUAAGUCUGCGGUUAAAUCGUGGGGCUCAACCCCAUUCUGCCGUUGAUACUGGGUGGCUUGAUUGCGGUCGAGGUUGGCGGAAUUCGUUGUGUAGCGGUGAAAUGCAUAGAUAUGACGAAGAACACCGAUUGCGUAGGCAGCUGACCAGACCGCAAAUGACGCUCAUGCACGAAAGUGCGGGGAUCGAACAGGAUUAGAUACCCUGGUAGUCCGCACAGUAAACGAUGAAUACUUGUUUUCGGCGAUAUAAUGUCGGAGGCAAAGCGAAAGCGAUAAGUAUUCCACCUGGGGAGUACGCCGGCAACGGUGAAACUCAAAUGAAUUGACGGGG
rnacentral:rRNA from 1 species